AGAGUUUGAUCCUGGCUCAGGACGAACGCUGGCGGCGUGCUUAACACAUGCAAGUCGAACGGAAAGGCCCCCACUUUUUUGGUGGGGGUGCUCGAGUGGCGAACGGGUGAGUAACACGUGGGUGAUCUGCCCUGUACUUCGGGAUAAGCUUGGGAAACUGGGUCUAAUACCGGAUAGGACCAUGGUUUAGUGUCUCAUGGUGGAAAAAUUAUUGUUUUGGUGCAGGAUGAGCUCGCGGCCUAUCAGCUUGUUGGUGGGGUAAUGGCCUACCAAGGCGUCGACGGGUAGCCGGCCUGAGAGGGUGGACGGCCACAUUGGGACUGAGAUACGGCCCAGACUCCUACGGGAGGCAGCAGUGGGGAAUAUUGCACAAUGGGCGCAAGCCUGAUGCAGCGACGCCGCGUGGGGGAUGACGGCCUUCGGGUUGUAAACUCCUUUCGUUAGGGACGAAGCCACGCCUUUUUUGGGUGUGGUGACGGUACCUUUGUUAAGAAGCACCGGCUAACUACGUGCCAGCAGCCGCGGUAAUACGUAGGGUGCGAGCGUUGUCCGGAAUUACUGGGCGUAAAGAGCUCGUAGGUGGUUUGUUGCGUCGUCUGUGAAAUUCCGGGGCUUAACUUCGGGGUGGCAGGCGAUACGGGCAUAACUAGAGUGCUGUAGGGGAGACUGGAAUUCCUGGUGUAGCGGUGGAAUGCGCAGAUAUCAGGAGGAACACCGAUGGCGAAGGCAGGUCUCUGGGCAGUAACUGACGCUGAGGAGCGAAAGCAUGGGGAGCGAACAGGAUUAGAUACCCUGGUAGUCCAUGCUGUAAACGGUGGGCGUUAGGUGUGGGGACCGGUUUGGUUUCUGUGCCGUAGCUAACGCAUUAAGCGCCCCGCCUGGGGAGUACGGCCGCAAGGCUAAAACUCAAAGGAAUUGACGGGGGC
rnacentral:rRNA from 1 species